rnacentral:tRNA from 2 species
UGGAGUAUCGCCAAGCGGUAAGGCAGCGGGUUUUGAUCUCGCCAUUCCCAGGUUCAAAUCCUGGUACUCCAGCCA